rnacentral:rRNA from 1 species
GUGAGGAAUUUUCCGCAAUGGGCGAAAGCCUGACGGAGCAAUGCCGCGUGAAGGAUGAAGGCCUAUGGGUUGUAAACUUCUUUUCUCAGAAAAGAAUUAUGACGGUAUCUGAGGAAUAAGCAUCGGCUAACUCUGUGCCAGCAGCCGCGGUAAGACAGAGGAUGCAAGCGUUAUCCGGAAUGAUUGGGCGUAAAGCGUCUGUAGGUUGUUUAAAAAGUAUUCUGUCAAAGAUUAGGGCUUAACCCUAGAUAGGCAGAAUAAACUUUUAAGCUAGAGUUUGGUAGAGGCAGAGGGAAUUCCCGGUGGAGCGGUGAAAUGCGUAGAUAUCGGGAGGAACACCAAAGGCGAAGGCACUCUGCUGGGCCAAUACUAACACUGAGAGACGAAAGCGAGGGGAGCAAAUGGGAUUAGAAACUCUUGUAGUCC